rnacentral:rRNA from 1 species
UGGAGGAAAGUAGGGGAUCGAAAGACCUUGCGCUUAAGGAGCGGCCGAUGUCUGAUUAGCUAGUUGGUGGGGUAAAGGCCUACCAAGGCGACGAUCAGUAGUUUGUCUGAGAGGACGACCAACCACACUGGGACUGAGACACGGCCCAGACUCCUACGGGAGGCAGCAGUGGGGAAUUUUGGACAAUGGGCGCAAGCCUGAUCCAGCCAUGCCGCGUGAGUGAAGAAGGCCUUCGGGUUGUAAAGCUCUUUCAGUUGGGAAGAAACGAUUGCAACUAAUAAUUGUAAUUAAUGACGGUACCGACAGAAGAAGCACCGGCUAACUACGUGCCAGCAGCCGCGGUAAUACGUAGGGUGCGAGCGUUAAUCGGAAUUACUGGGCGUAAAGGGUGCGCAGGCGGUUUUGUAAGUCAGAUGUGAAAUCCCCGGGCUUAACCUGGGAAUGGCGUUUGAA